AUUGAACGCUGGCGGCACGCUUAACACAUGCAAGUCGAACGGUAGCAGGUUAAUGCUUCGGUAUUAAUGCUGACGAGUGGCGGACGGGUGAGUAACACGUAGGAAUCUGUCUUAUAGAGGGGGAAACGAAGGGGAACGUACCUCGCUAAUACCGCGUAAGCCCUCGAGGGGGAAAGGACUGGGGAGGCCUGAGAGGGUCCGU
rnacentral:rRNA from 1 species